GCCACCCGGGCAGGCCGCCCGCUCGGGAUUCCCUUCCCCAGCCUUCCCCCGCUUCUGGCCCCUCCCCGCCCCCCACCGAGGAGUGACAGUGCCGGCCCGGGCCCGCUAUGUGUCACUGCAAGCCUUGUGUCUGCCUCUGACUGGACCGCUGUGUUCACCAAUCUGUCUGACAAGGUCGGCUGUGUGUGGGUCCCGGUGUCUGUCUCCGUGUGCACCUGCAUGUCUGCUCAUCUUGUCUCCUUCAGUGCCUGUGUCUGCCGCGUUCCUGUCAUUAUGCCUGUCUACAUGACUCCGAGGGGCUGUCUCUGUCUGUGUGUCUGCCUGGCUCCUGUCUCGGUCUUUUGUCUGGGUCUGCCUCUGCAUCACUUGCGUGAUCACGUGUGUCUCUGCACAUGCCCUUCUGUGUUUGCCUUCACGUUUCUGAACAGAGUCGGGGAAACACUGGAGCAGGAUGACCCUGCUGAGUCGUCGCCUCACUCCUCGGAAUCCUGACGUCUUGCUGGAUCAGCGAUCCUUCUGUUUGAGUCAAGUAUUUGGGGGUCUGUCUGCCUUCAGUCAAGGCCAUUUCCUGGGUCAGCCUGCCCCUCAGCUCUACCCCAGGUUACCAUCCCAAAUGUCUCAUGUGCUCUAGAGAAGGGGUGAGUAGGAGGCUGUGCAGCAGAUCUCAGAAGCCAUCGGUUGCUUGGCAAUGGAGCCCAUUCAGUUAACACAUUGAUUCAACACAAUUCCACUGAGGCACCCCAAUGUGCAAACCAUCUUGCCAAAUAGAGACAGAGAGAAGAAAACAGUCCCACUCAAAAACUCACCCCAGGAGACAGCUCGGAAGGAAAGCAAAGCCCAGAGCAGCAGCGAGACAGCCCCGAAAGGUGCCGCGGGCAGACCUGGGGCGCACAGGCUGUCGGGCAAGGGGAAGGGAGUCGGGCUGCAUGAGACGGCGGCGCGGCCAGCAGGCGACAAGCCGAAGUGGGGGAGAUGGAACAAGGAGGACCAGGGAAAAGAGCCAGAGGAAUAGUCUUAGCUGUUUCUUCUUCAAGAGAGGAAAAAAUAAUCCUAAAGAAAGCAACACAAAUCUUACUAAAGCCAUCAUCAAAUAAAGUGCACAAAAGCAGUGGAAGUGAAUCCCCAGCCCCUGCCCCCACCACCCACCAAAGUAACACAAACUCUCCACUCCUCCCUAACAACUCCCAAGGUCUUGGCCAGUUUGAAGCAGGCCUACUAACUAUAAUAAUAAAAAUAGUAACUAACAGCAUUGAACAAUAAUACGCAUUUCAUAACAAGCAUUCAUUCAGUGUUCGUUCUGUGCCAGGCACUGUGCUAAGUGCUUUGCAU
rnacentral:lncRNA from 1 species